UGACACAAACCAUCACUGAAAAAAAAAUAUCAAGUCUCCUCUCCUUGUUCCCUGACUCCCUGUCUUGCUGUAAGACAAGGAUUACAGGAUUCUUAAGAAUCCUCCCUCUCCCAGGAUUCUCACUACUGUUCUGCUCUUUGCCACAAGGGAGGUUUCACCAAAACCAACCAGAAGUAGUGACUUCUCUCUGUGGGCGCUGUGCAGAGCUUAGCCAAGAUGAUGGCUGCUCCGAUGGCUACAGCUACCUCCUUCCAGUACUAAGUGGUACCCAGACUAGCAUGACCACAAUCUCCAAUGACAACAGAUGCCUUGACUCAGGUCCACUGGUUGGUGUGUCUGCUUCUACACCAUCUUUAAAACCUCAUUCCGAGGUUUGAUCCCAGGAAGAAAACUCUAUCAUCUCAGACUCCUAAAUGGGCAGGGAGGAGAGCAAAUGCCCACCAAGGACAGCACUCCACUUUCUGUCUUUGGAUUCUCUUCUGUGUGUACCAUAAACAAUCAUUUUCCCUAGCGACUGCGGCAGUCAUUCCUUGUAGGCCUUUGCUAAAACCCAGGCCAUCUAGACACACCAGUACCAAUGGUUGACGUUUUCCAGAGGAAGAAGGGGUUGUAUAUUCUUUUGCCAUUGAUUACAGAAAUUCUUAAUGUAUUUCAGAGCUAACUCUACCAAAUACAUAGCUUCUAUAAUUCUGUAAGUUGCUUUUUCAUGAUAUUUGUGGUUUCCUUGGAUGUGUAAGUGACUAGCAAGAAACUAAAAAUGUCGCCAUCUUCAUACAUUUAUGUGCUCAAUCAAUUUAUCAAUCAUAUAUUAGGUGUCAGGACACUUUAAAAGCUCUAUUUAUUUUUAAUUUUAUCUGUUUGAGUGUUUGCUUACAUGUAUGUACCUCAGUCAUCUGAGUGCCUGGAGGCCAGAAGAAGAUGUUGGAUUCCCUGGAACAGGAGUUACAGACGCUUGUGAGUGGUUAGAGAAUGGAACCCAGGUCCUCUAAAAGACCAGCAAGUGCUCUUAACUGCCAAGCCAUCUCUCCAGCUAGGUCCCUGCCAGGACCUUUAAAAGAUGCUGUCGCUAAGAUUAGAGAUGGUAAGAAAAAAAAUCUCUGCUGUUGUCGAACUCCAAUUUUAGUAAGGAAAGGUAGACACUAAGAAAAUAAACAAACCAAACCCCCAGCAUGAAAGGUGGUCCCCAACACCUGGGAUUUACUUUAAAAAUUACUCU